GGAUGAGGCUGCCAUAACCCUUUCCUAAAGCUUUUGCAAAACCCUCUGGCCUUCCAAAAAGGAGAGCCUGUGUCCUUACCAGGACUUCUGAGAUUCCUUUGGCUCUUGGGAAGAAUUACAGAUGCUGCAGCAGUUUACCUCUUCCUUGCACCUGUGUCUCCAGGAAAACUGCGACGCUAUGGUCUGAAUCUCAAAUAUAAUGCCUGCUCACACUGGGGACAGCAGCCUACUGAGUUCAGCAAUUUAAAUGCGAAUCUAAUCUGGAAACAUCCUGCUAUGGACUGAAUGUUUGUGUCCUCCCCACCCACAAAUUCAUAUGUUGAAAUCUAACCCACAAGGUGAUGGUAUGAAGAGAUGGAGUCUUUUGGGAGGUAAUUAAGUCAUGAAGGCUCUGCCCUCAUGAAUGGGAUUAGUGCACUUGUGAAAGAGGUUGCAGAGAGCUCAUUCACCCUUUCUGCCAUGGGAGGACACAGCAAGAAGGUAUCACUUAAGAGAAAGUGGAUCCUUACCGAGUGCCAAAUCUGCUGGCAUCUUGAUCUUGGACUUCCCAGCCUCCAGACUGUGAAAAAUAAAUUUCCG
rnacentral:lncRNA from 10 species